AAUAUCUGCCAUUACAGAUUUCUGUUUAAACGGUAAUCGAUAGACGCCAUGUGUACAUGUGACGCAUGCACCUUUGUUUUUCACCAAUACUACUACAAUGACCACACUCAGAUAUGCCAUGCAAAGUCAACAUAUUAGGAUUGGAGACCAUCAACCGUGGCUGAAAAAUCAAAAUCAUUAUUUUCGAUGAAUGACGUCUAUCGAUAACCGUUUACAAAGAAAUGUGUAAUCAUUAAUUAAUCAUGGGGACGUAACUACAUGCUGUCUAAACUAAUAUAUCUUUUGCGUGGGUAUCCAACGCUCAGAAGCCUCAUGGUGGAGGGUCUAGACGACAUUCAUGAAGACACGGUAGCAAAUGCGGUGAACACCGGGUGAAUGUUGUUCUUGGAGAAAGACGGCCACUAGUUGCACCUGAGAAAUUGACCUCCCCAGGCAAACCAGAUAUGUAGCUGCAUCAUCUUCUACAGAGCAACGAUUGAUGCCUGGGACCACACGGCACGCAGAGUUCCUGGAUCUGGAUAAUCAACAGAACCAAACAAACCAUUAAAAUGCAGAAGAGCAAAUAAUUAAAUUCUCCUCAUACUGGUUGGCGAUGACGUAGUCGAAUGUCGAAAUUUUUCAAAGUGGUAUUAUGGUUGUCGAAGACGAAAAUUAGUUUGCUUUUUUGGUUUCACAUAAGUCGAAUUUGACGAAAACUAUCAAUCUUAUAUAUAAAAUUCAA